ensembl:snRNA U6 U6 spliceosomal RNA
GUGCUUGCUUCAGCAACACAUAGACUGAAAGUUGGAACUUUUAGUAUGCAGAGAAGAUUAACAUGGCCCUUGCACAGGAUGACAUGCAAAUUCGUGGAACAUUCCAUAUUUUU